rnacentral:rRNA from 1 species
AGUAAUGUCUGGGAAACUGCCUGAUGGAGGGGGGUAACGUACUGGAAACGGUAGCUAAUACCGCAUAAUGUCGCAAGACCAAAGUGGGGGACCUUCGGGCCUCAUGCCAUCAGAUGUGCCCAGAUGGGAUUAGCUAGUAGGUGGGGUAACGGCUCACCUAGGCGACGAUCCCUAGCUGGUCUGAGAGGAUGGCCAGCCACACUGGAACUGAGACACGGUCCAG